GGUCCUGUGGCCCAAUGGACGUAGCGCAUGACUACGAAUCAAGAGAUUCCAGGUUCGAGUCCUGGCUGGAUCA
rnacentral:tRNA from 1 species